rnacentral:rRNA from 1 species
GACGAACGCUGGCGGCGUGCUUAACACAUGCAAGUCGAGCGGUAAGGCCCUUUCGGGGGUACACGAGCGGCGAACGGGUGAGUAACACGUGGGUGACCUGCCCUCAGCUCUGGGAUAAGCCUGGGAAACCGGGUCUAAUACUGGAUAUGACUCCAUGACGCAUGUUGUGGGGUGGAAAGCCUUGUGCGGCUGAGGAUGGGCCCGCGGCCUAUCAGCUUGUUGGUGGGGUGANGGCCUACCAAGGCGACGACGGGUAGCCGGCCUGAGAGGGCGACCGGCCACACUGGGACUGAGACACGGCCCAGACUCCUACGGGAGGCAGCAGUGGGGAAUCUUGCGCAAUGGGCGAAAGCCUGACGCAGCGACGCCGCGUGAGGGAUGACGGCCUGGUGUAAG